AUUGAACGCUGGCGGUAUGCCUAACACAUGCAAGUCGAACGGAAACGAUGGUAGCUUGCUACCAGGCGUCGAGUGGCGGACGGGUGAGUAACGCGUAGGAAUCUGCCUAGUAGUGGGGGAUAGCCCAGAGAAAUUUGGAUUAAUACCGCAUACACUCUACGGAGAAAAGCAGGGGAUCUUAGGACCUUGCGCUAUUAGAUAAGCCUGCGUGGGAUUAGCUAGUUGGUGAGGUAAAGGCUCACCAAGGCGACGAUCUCUAGCUGGUCUGAGAGGAUGAUCAGCCACACUGGAACUGAGACACGGUCCAGACUCCUACGGGAGGCAGCAGUAGGGAGUAUUGGACAAUGGGCGCAAGCCUGAUCCAGCAAUGCCGCGUGUGUGAAGAAGGCCUGCGGGUUGUAAAGCACUUUCAAUUGGGAAGAAAGAUUUAGAGUUAAUACCUCUUAAUAUUGACGUUACCAAUAGAAGAAGCACCGGCUAACUCUGUGCCAGCAGCCGCGGUAAUACAGAGGGUGCAAGCGUUAAUCGGAAUUACUGGGCGUAAAGCGCGCGUAGGCGGUUAAUUAAGUCAGAUGUGAAAGCCCCGGGCUCAACCUGGGAACUGCAUUUGAAACUGGUUAACUAGAGUGUGGUAGAGGAGAGUGGAAUUUCAGGUGUAGCGGUGAAAUGCGUAGAGAUCUGAAGGAACACCAGUGGCGAAGGCGGCUCUCUGGACCAACACUGACGCUGAGGUGCGAAAGCGUGGGUAGCAAACAGGAUUAGAUACCCUGGUAGUCCACGCCGUAAACGAUGUCUACUAGCCGUUGGGGUCCUUGAGGCCUUAGUGGCGCAGCUAACGCAUUAAGUAGACCGCCUGGGGAGUACGGCCGCAAGGCUAAAACUCAAAUGAAUUGACGGGGGCCCGCACAAGCGGUGGAGCAUGUGGUUUAAUUCGAUGCAACGCGAACAACCUUACCUACCCUUGACACAAACAGAAUCUGUUAGAGAUAGACGUGUGCCUUCGGGGACGCUGUGACAGGUGCUGCAUGGCUGUCGUCAGCUCGUGUUGUGAAAUGUUGGGUUAAGUCCCGCAACGAGCGCAACCCCUAUCCUUAUUUGCCAGCGCGUUAUGGCGGGAACUCUAAGGAGACUGCCGGGGAUAACCGUGAGGAAGGUGGGGAUGACGUCAAAUCAUCACGGCCCUUACCGGAUGGGCUACACACGUGCUACAAUGGCAGGUACAGAGGGCAGCAAUACUGCGAGGUUGAGCGAAUCCCACAAAGCUUGUCGUAGUCCGGAUUGGAGUCUGCAACUCGACUCCAUGAAGUCGGAAUCGCUAGUAAUCGUAGAUCAGAAUGCUACGGUGAAUACGUUCCCGGGCCUUGUACACACCGCCCGUCACACCAUGGGAGUGGGAUGCAAAAGAAGUGGCUAGUCUAACCUUCGGGGGGCCGGUAACCACUUUGUGUUUCAUGACUGGGGUG
rnacentral:rRNA from 1 species